rnacentral:rRNA from 1 species
AUUGAACGCUGGCGGCAGGCCUAACACAUGCAAGUCGAGCGAGCGGCGGACGGGUGAGUAAUGUAUGGGGACUGCCCGCUAGAGGGGGAUAACUACUGGAAACGGUGGCUAAUAACGCAUAGUAUCGGUUCACCCAUAGGGGAUUAGCUAGUAGGUGGGGUAAAGGCUCACCUAGGCGACGAUCUCUAGCUGGGCUGCGAGGAUGAUCAGACAACCUGGGACUGAGACACGGCCCAGACUCCUACGGUGGCAGCAGUGGGGAAUAUUGCACAAUGGGCGCAAGCCUGAUGCAGCCAUGCCGCGGGUAUGAAGCAGGCCUUAGGGUUGUAAAGUACUUUCAGCGGGGAGGCGUUACCCGCAGAAGAAGCACCGGCUAACUCCGGGCAAGCAGCCGCGGUAAUUC